rnacentral:rRNA from 1 species
AUUGAACGCUGGCGGCAGGCUUAACACAUGCAAGUCGAGCGAGCGGCGGACGGGUGAGUAAUGUCUGGGAAACUGCCUGAUGGAGGGGGAUAACUACUGGAAACGGUAGCUAAUACCGCAUACCAUCAGAUGUGCCAAGAUGGGAUUGGCUAGUAGGUGGGGUAAUGGCUCACCUAGGCGACGAUCCCUAGCUGGUCUGAGAGGAUGACCAGCCACACGUGAACUGAGACACGGUCCAGACUCCUACGGGAGGCAGCAGUGGGGAAUAUUGCACAAUGGGCGCAAGCCGGAUGGAGCCAUGCCGCGUGUGUGAAGAAGGCCUUCGGGUUGUAAAGCACUUUCAGCGAGGAGGCGUUACUCGCAGAAGAAGCACCGGCUAACUCCGUGCCAGCCGCCGCGGUAAUUC